GAUGAACGCUGGCGGCGUGCCUAAUACAUGCAAGUCGAGCGAACAGACGAGGAGCUUGCUCCUUUGACGUUAGCGGCGGACGGGUGAGUAACACGUGGGUAACCUACCUAUAAUACUGGGAUAACUUCGGGACACCGGAGCUAAUACCGGAUAAUAUUUCGAACCGCAUGGUUCUAUAGUGAAAGAUGGCUUUGCUAUCACUUAUAGAUGUACCUGCGCCGUAUUAGCUAGUUGGUAAGGUAACGGCUUACCAAGGCAACGAUACGUAGCCGACCUGAGAGGGUGAUCGGCCACACUGGAACUGAGACACGGUCCAGACUCCUAAGGGAGGCAGCAGUAGGGAAUCUUCCGCAAUGGGCGAAAGCCUGACGGAGCAACGACGCGUGAGUGAUGAAGGUCUUCGGAGCGUAAAACUCUGUUAUUAGGGAAGAACAAAUGUGUAAGUAACUGUGCACGUCUUGACGGUACCUAAUCAGAAAGCCACGGCUAACUACGUG
rnacentral:rRNA from 1 species